GGAUUCCCCUAGUAACUGCGAGUGAAGCGGGAAAAGCUCAAAUUUAAAAUCUGGCGGUCUUUGGCCGUCCGAGUUGUAGUCUGGAGAAGUGCUUUCCGCGCUGGACCGUGUAUAAGUCUCUUGGAACAGAGCGUCAUAGAGGGUGAGAAUCCCGUCUUUGACACGGACUACCAGUGCUUUGUGAUGCGCUCUCAAAGAGUCGAGUUGUUUGGGAAUGCAGCUCAAAAUGGGUGGUGAAUUCCAUCUAAAGCUAAAUAUUGGCGAGAGACCGAUAGCGAACAAGUACCGUGAGGGAAAGAUGAAAAGCACUUUGGAAAGAGAGUUAAACAGUACGUGAAAUUGCUGAAAGGGAAACGCUUGAAGUCAGUCGCGUCUUCCGGAACUCAGCCUUCCUUUUGGUUGGUGCACUUUCCGGUUGACGGGCCAGCAUCAAUUUCGACCGUCGGAAAAGGGCUGGGGAAAUGUGGCACCUUUCGGGGUGUGUUAUAGUCCUCAGUCGCAUACGUCGGUCGGGAUUGAGGAUCGCAGCGCGCCGCAAGGCAGGGGGUUAGCCCACUUUCGCGCUUAGGAUGCUGGCAUAAUGGCUUUAAACGACCCGUCUUGAAACACGGACCAAGGAGUCUAACAAACCUGCGAGUGUUUGGGUGGAAAACCCGAGCGCGUAAUGAAAGUGAAAG
rnacentral:rRNA from 1 species